UACAGAGGGUGCAAGCGUUGUUCGGAAUUAUUGGGCGUAAAGGGUGCGUAGGCGGUCUGAUAAGUCAUCUGUGAAAUCUAUGGGCUCAACCCAUAGUCUGCAGGCGAAACUGUCGGGCUUGAGUAUGGGAGAGGUGAGUGGAAUUUCCGGUGUAGCGGUGAAAUGCGUAGAUAUCGGAAGGAACACCUGUGGCGAAAGCGGCUCACUGGACCAUUACUGACGCUGAUGCACGAAAGCUAGGGGAGCAAACAGG
rnacentral:rRNA from 1 species